CCCUUAGAUGCUCUGGGCCGCACGCGCGUUACACUGAUGCAUUCAACGAGCUUAUAACCUUGGCCGAGAGGCCUGGGCAAUCUUGUUAACGUGCAUCGUGAUAGGGAUAGAUUAUUGAAAUUAUUAAUCUUGAACGAGGAAUUCCUAGUAAACGCAGAUCAUCAAUCUGCAUUGAUUACGUCCCUGCCCUUUGUACACACCGCCCGUCGCACCUACCGAUUGGAUGGUCCGGUGAAGCCUCGGGAUUGUGGUUCUUGCCGCUUUAUUGUGGCGUGACCGCGAGAACUUGUCUAAACCUUAUCAUCUAGAGGAAGGUGAAGUCGUAACA
rnacentral:rRNA from 1 species